AUUGAUCUGGCAGAUAAAUGUAUUUGAUUUAGAAUCAAAAAAAUGGGUGUUACUCGGUCAAUU
rnacentral:tRNA from 1 species